rnacentral:rRNA from 1 species
GUCUACGGCCAUACCAAUUUGAAUAUGCCUGACCUCGUCUAAUAUCGGAAGCUAAGCUGGGUUGGGCCUCGUUAGCACUUGGACAGGAAACUGAGUGUGUAAACA